AGCGGCGGAUGGGUGAGUAACACGUGGGGAACCUGCCCCUAAGUCUGGGAUACCAUUUGGAAACAGGUGCUAAUACCGGAUAAUAAAGCAGAUCGCAUGAUCAGCUUUUGAAAGGCGGCGUAAGCUGUUGCUAAGGGAUGGCCCCGCGGUGCAUUAGCUAGUUGGUAAGGUAACGGCUUACCAAGGCGACGAUGCAUAGCCGAGUUGAGAGACUGAUCGGCCACAUUGGGACUGAGACACGGCCCAAACUCCUACGGGAGGCAGCAGUAGGGAAUCUUCCACAAUGGACGCAAGUCUGAUGGAGCAACGCCGCGUGAGUGAAGAAGGUUUUCGGAUCGUAAAGCUCUGUUGUUGGUGAAGAAGGAUAGAGGUAGUAACUGGCCUUUAUUCGACGGUAAUCAACCAGAAAGUCACGGCUAACUACGUGCCAGCAGCCGCGGUAAUACGUAGGUGGCAAGCGUUGUCCGGAUUUAUUGGGCGUAAAGCGAGCGCAGGCGGAAAAAUAAGUCUAAUGUGAAAGCCCUCGGCUUAACCGAGGAACUGCAUCGGAAACUGUUUUUCUUGAGUGCAGAAGAGGAGAGUGGAACUCCAUGUGUAGCGGUGGAAUGCGUAGAUAUAUGGAAAAACACCAGUGGCGAACGCGGCUCUCUGGUCUGCAACUGACGCUGAGGCUCGAAAGCAUGGGUAGCGAACAGGAUUAGAUACCCUGGUAGUCCAUGC
rnacentral:rRNA from 1 species